rnacentral:miRNA from 1 species
AGCUGUUUUGGAACUACAAUUCCCAUCUUCCCUGACCGCUGGUCCUGUUAGCUAGGGAUGCUGGGAGUUGUAGUCCCAAAACAGCU